GACGAACGCUGGCGGCGUGCCUAAUACAUGCAAGUUGAGCGCUGAAGGUUGGUACUUGUACCAACUGGAUGAGCAGCGAACGGGUGAGUAACGCGUGGGGAAUCUGCCUUUGAGCGGGGGACAACAUUUGGAAACGAAUGCUAAUACCGCAUAAAAACUUUAAACACAAGUUUUAAGUUUGAAAGAUGCAAUUGCAUCACUCAAAGAUGAUCCCGCGCUGUAUUAGCUAGUUGGUGAGGUAAAGGCUCACCAAGGCGAUGAUACAUAGCCGACCUGAGAGGGUGAUCGGCCACAUUGGGGCUGAGACACGGCACAAACGCCUACGGGAGGCAGCAGUAGGGAAUCUUCGGCAAUGGACGAAAGUCUGACCGAGCAACGCCGCGUGAGUGAAGAAGGUUUUCGGAUCGUAAAACUCUGUUGGUAGAGAAGAACGUUGGUGAGAGUGGAAAGCUCAUCAAGUGACGGUAACUACACAGAAAGGGACGGCUAACUACGUG
rnacentral:rRNA from 1 species